rnacentral:rRNA from 1 species
UACGUAGGGGCUAGCGUUGUCCGGAUUUAUUGGGCGUAAAGAGCGUGUAGGCGGCUAGGUAGGUCCGUUGUGAAAACUCGAGGCUCAACCUCGAGACGUCGAUGGAAACCAUCUAGCUAGAGUCCGGAAGAGGAGAGUGGAAUUCCUGGUGUAGCGGUGAAAUGCGCAGAUAUCAGGAAGAACACCCGUGGCGAAGGCGGCUCUCUGGUACGUGACUGACGCUGAGACGCGAAGCGUGGGAGCAAACAGG